rnacentral:rRNA from 1 species
GUGCCAGCCGCCGCGGUAAAACCAGCACCUCAAGUGGUCAGGAGGGUUAUUGGGCCUAAAGCAUCCGUAGCCGGCUAUGUUAGUUUUCGGUUAAAUCCAUGUGCUCAACAUAUGGGCUGUCGAGAAUACUGCAUAGCUAGGGAGUGGGAGAGGUAGACGGUACUCGAUAGGAAGGGGUAAAAUCCUUUGAUCUAUUGAUGACCACCAGUGGCGAAGGCGGUCUACCAGAACACGUCCGACGGUGAGGGAUGAAAGCUGGGGGAGCAAACCGGAUUAGAUACCCGGGUAGUCCCAGCUGUAAACUAUGCAAACUCAGUGAUGCAUUGGCUUGUGGCCAGUGCAGUGCCGCAGAGAAGUCGUUAAGUUUGCCGCCUGGGAAGUACGUACGCAAGUAUGAAACUUAAAGGAAUUGGCGGGGGAGCACCACAAGGGGUGAAGCCUGCGGUUCAAUUGGAGUCAACGCCAGAAAUCUUACCCGGAGAGACAGCAGAAUGAAGGUCAAGCUGAAGACUUUACCAGACAAGCUGAGAAGUGGUGCAUGGCCGUCGCCAGCUCGUGCCGUGAGAUGUCCUGUUAAGUCAGGUAACGAGCGAGAUCCCUGCCUCUAGUUGCCACCAUUACUCUCAGGAGUAGUGGGGCGAAUUAGCGGGACUGCCGCAGUUAAUGCGGAGGAAGGAGGGGGCCACGGCAGGUCAGUAUGCCCUGAAACUCUGGGGCCACACGCGGGCUGCAAUGGUAGUUACAAUGAGUUCCGAAUCCGAAAGGAGGAGGUAAUCUUCAAAUGCUACCACAGUUAUGAUUGAGGGCUGCAACUCGCCCUCAUGAAUAUGGAAUCCCUAGUAACUGCGUGUCAUUACCGCGCGGUGAAUACGUCCCUGCUCCUUGCACACACCGCCCGUC